AGCUUGGUGCAACAGUAUGUAAAUCCUCUUGUUUUCUGAUGAGCUGUUUUCCUGAGGUGGCCGCAUGGUUAAGGAGUACUUCAAUACACAGCAAAUAAAGGAUUGAUGAUCUGAAAAAAGUCAUCUCCCAGGUACGUUUGAAAUCAACGAAGCAACUCCGUGUAACUCUUCUAGUAAGUACUAGAAGUAAAGAACUGAAGAUAGAGAGAAAUAAAUGACACCCAUUAAAUGAAACAAGCUCCAGCUGACAUUUCAGGGCAUAAAGACUUUCUACUUUGAAAAUAACUUCAGAAGGAAGGAGGAAGAGAAGAGGUAUGGAGGAAGAGGAAGGAAAGGUAUGACUGACCUGCGGUUCAACAUUAAUUUGUGCUGCCAUUUCAGGAACACUGGAAUUUUCCCCAGUGUUUGGAAUCACUUCAUAUUUUUGUACUAGAACUGAACCACAGUGAUAAACAUGGUUAGCUCCGGGCGUUUGGUUUGUCAUCAGCUGGGAGCAGAAGGAAAACCUCGCUUAUUCUCUUGGAAAGCUGCUGUUCCUCCAGUUCCAAAAGACAAAUAAUUUACUCAGGUCUUUUUUAAAGGAAAGGUUAUAAUUGGAUGAUUUUUCUUAUAGAAUGCUUUCCAUAUUGUCCUAAAUCUUCUUUGUUAUUGUUUUGGACAUUGGUUUAUCAUGAUGUGCACCACUAAAGUUACCAAAAAAACUGCUCUAUUUAUUUUAUUAUACACCCGUUUGUUACCUGUCCUCCAUAUUAUUGUAAUCCAAUAAGAAAAAAGAAAACAGUCUUAUUUAGUAGAAACAGUGCUGUAAGUUGGGAAAAGUAGUGCUACAGUGCCACUACUCUAAAAAAGGCCAUUAUUUAGCACACUCUGCUCUUACAGUAAUCUUAAGCUCUAUCCUGUUGGAACACUCAGUAGACUUGGAGAAUAGCCAGGAAUAUAUGCUGUAUGUAGAUUAAUACACGAUCUUCUAGGACAAUGGGAAACAGCCAAUGAUGUUCCUAUUACAAUACAAAGUGGAAAACUCAAGUUUGAAGUUCUGUCUGAUGGAAAUGAGUUCAGUCUGACAAAACUGAUUUGUCUAAGGUAAAAGUCCAGCAUUAUACUUUUAAUGUUUUGUAUAUUACUGUAGGUUUAUAUUCUUAAUUAUGUAAUUAACAUUGCUUAUCACUGUAUAACAAUUUGUGUCAGUUCUCCUCCUGUGACAAAGCUUAAAUUAUACCACUUAUUUAAAACAGA